ACCGAAAUAGCUCAGUUGGGAGAGCGUUACACUAUAAAUUGAAAGUCCCUGGUUUGAUUCCGGGUUUCAUUA
rnacentral:tRNA from 1 species